UACGGUGGAAUUCAUAGUCGUAGUAGGGGGCCCCUAAGGGGAUUAUUCAGCCGCUAUGUGUCGAAUUCAACCCCUACGCGUUUCAUAGACAAAAGAAACCCCUCAUUUGACAGGAGCUGGCGGCUGACUGCUGAAUUACCGAUAUUUGUCAGCCAAACCAUCCCCUGGCAUUUUUUUUUGUUGUUAUUCGUGAUUUAUUUAUUAGAAAGUGGACGUUCGGAUCGUUAUAAGUGAAGUUGUAACAGCGAGUUAUAUCAGUGCCCAAGAUAUAUAUUCGCAAUUGCGUAAACCCAGUAUAAUACUAUGGCGAUAUGGAAUGUACGAAAGAUUCUCAUAUUAGGCAUAAUAUGCCCCUGUUUGAUGAAGAAUGAACACAGAAGACCAAGAGAGGAAUACCAAUACCGCUAGUAUUAUACAUUCUAGCAGCACUUCGAUUCUAUGAAACGGGAUGUUAUCAGACUGUAUGUGCAUUCCAUCAAGCAUUCUAUGAAAUAACAGAAAUGCCACAAGUCAAGCUGUAUUGAUGGCACGCAUAGGUAUACAUAUAAACAACCCCGGAGGACCCUAUGCACAGAUUUAAAGAAACCGGCUAUCAUGGCAGGGAAUAGCAGUGAUGAGCUCUGAGAAUACUGUUUUACCAAGAAUACUGAGAAUACUUUGGUCCUUGAAAAUCCGAGUUUUCAGAUCACAGUAAUUGGAAGACCCACAUACCUUGAAAAGUCAGCAGCAUUUAAUAUAGAGGUAGUAGGAGUGAGUGCAGUAUGUUGUAAGGUGGUCACUCACUCUGAAGUCCAUAACAAUAGAAAAUGUAUACAAAUCUUAAUUGAAUGAAAUUUAUUGAUUCACAUCUUUAAUAAAGAUAAUUAUUAAAUGUUUA